ACUUGCAGUGAAGGUCCAAGCAGUGUUGACGGAGCUGCUGAGUCAGCUGCCGCGGCGGCAGCAGCAGCGGCAGCGGCGUUGCUACUUCCGCUACCAAAUGGCCGGCCUCUUUUCGGCGGCGGGGCGGCGGAUCCACCGGUUGAUCCGGUUAGCUUUGCUUGCUCUCUUUUCUGCAUUUUUCUCUUUGCUGUGUUGAUCUACUGAAAGUGGAGAAUUGGUCCGAAAAUGUUGGGUUUCGGAUCAUAGUAGAAUGGAUGGGCCUGAGUAUUUAAUUAGGCCCAAUGUACAGCCCAUUUAUGUAAGCGCACCCAAUAUUCCAUGGAAUCCCUUUAUAUAAAGGCGGUCUUUAAUUUUUAUUCUUGAUCUUUAAUUUUUGUCCUUAAUAAUGAAAAUUUGAGGGUUAAAUUACUCUUGACUAUGACAUAAUUUUUUAAGGCAAAAAUUUGGAGAAGUUUUCAUCUAAAUACAAGGCAGUUGAAUACCCGUCACCUUGUAUAUAUCUCAAUCUAACGACAUAAGACGCCUUUUAAGAAAUCUCUUGCACUUGUCACUGGACUAAUCUCUCUUGCAUCACGUUUCCUUCAGGCAAUAUUGUGUAAUACACAAAGCAAGCAAUAGUGGUAAUACACAAAGCAGCUGAGUUAUUGUUCUUUGAUUAUUGUUUUCUAUGAUAGUAGAAGAAUGGUUCAUCCUUCCGUUAAGAAGACAGUAAACGCGAAGGUUUGGAUUGAAGAUCUUCACGAGACAGUCUGAGAUAUCAUAGAAUGUCGAAAAUAAU
rnacentral:lncRNA from 1 species